ACACAUGCAAGUCGAACGGACUUACAUUGAAGCCUAGCGAUAUGUAAGUUAGUGGCGGACGGGUGAGUAACGCGUGGGUAACCUGCCUUGUACUGGGGGACAACAGUUGGAAACGACUGCUAAUACCGCAUAAGCGCACAGCUUCGCAUGAAGCAGUGUGAAAAACUCCGGUGGUACAAGAUGGACCCGCGUCUGAUUAGCUGGUUGGUGAGGUAACGGCCCACCAAGGCGACGAUCAGUAGCCGGCCUGAGAGGGUGAACGGCCACAUUGGGACUGAGACACGGCCCAAACUCCUACGGGAGGCAGCAGUGGGGAAUAUUGCACAAUGGGGGAAACCCUGAUGCAGCAACGCCGCGUGAGUGAAGAAGUAUUUCGGUAUGUAAAGCUCUAUCAGCAGGAAAGAAAAUGACGGUACCUGACUAAGAAGCCCCGGCUAACUACGUGCCAGCAGCCGCGGUAAUACGUAGGGGGCAAGCGUUAUCCGGAUUUACUGGGUGUAAAGGGAGCGUAGACGGUUUUGCAAGUCUGAAGUGAAAGCCCGGGGCUUAACCCCGGGACUGCUUUGGAAACUGUAGAACUAGAGUGCAGGAGAGGUAAGUGGAAUUCCUAGUGUAGCGGUGAAAUGCGUAGAUAUUAGGAGGAACACCAGUGGCGAAGGCGGCUUACUGGACUGUAACUGACGUUGAGGCUCGAAAGCGUGGGGAGCAAACAGGAUUAGAUACCCUGGUAGUCCAUGCCGUAAACGAUGAUUACUAGGUGUUGGUGGGUACGACCCAUCGGUGCCGCAGCAAACGCAGUAAGUAAUCCACCUGGGGAGUACGACCGCAAGGUUGAAACUCAAAGGAAUUGACGGGGGCCCGCACAAGC
rnacentral:rRNA from 1 species